rnacentral:lncRNA from 1 species
UGACUCCAUGACAACUACCCAGACUACAACGAGUCAGCCUAAUAAAGCUAAUGAACGAGCAGCCUCCUCUACUGCCAGCGUUCAAAACUCAGCUUCCUCAUUCAAAAGAUUGGGCAGGAAAUCACCAUUUAUGAGAUAUGGACUUCCUAUGAUCUCACUAACAGUGCUUGGAUCUAUUGGUCUUAGCCAACUUCUGCAAGGCAGGUUAGUUAUACUUAAUGUCAAAUUACUCAACU